UCUGUAAAACAUGUGGACAAUACCUUUGAUAUGAAUAUUUCACUUCUAAUGAAAACAAGUGUUCAUACAUCUUCCUGCUUAGGUGGGAUUUCUGUGAGCAUCUCUCUGCUGUGGGAAAAGGGAAAAAAAAUCUGUUCAUUCUCUCUUGCCAUCUGGGCCUUUUUUUUCAGAGAUUACUAUGUUCCCCUCAUUUCAAUCCUCUGAACAGAUAUUUAAAAAGGCAAACUGGAAAAAAAAAGGAACCAAAGGACAUUUAGGGAACACAGAACAGUAUUAAAUUUACCAGUAACAAUAUUAAAUUUACCAGUAAACCUCAUUGCUCAAUUUUUACAUAUAUGAAUACAUACAUAGAGCAGCACGUGACAGAAGAGAAACAUCAUAAAGAGAGAUCAUUACUUAGAGACAUUGACUCAGGAGAUGGGAACAGCCAGCCCAUCUCAGCUGGCAUGGGAAGAACUUCCUGGGAAAAGUUGUUCCAGCCCAGAAAGUCUAUGACUCAGAUGAAAUUAAACCUGGAAGCAAGGACUUGCCUGCAGGGACACCUCCAGGAUGUCAUGCUGCUGGCUCCUUUUAGAGCCAUGAUAUUCAAACUCCCUCCCAUACCCUCAAGAAACAGACACAGGAGAGAUAUUUUUGGGUUUGCCUGUGGUUUAAAAUGA
rnacentral:lncRNA from 1 species